GUCAGGAUGGCUGAGCAGUGUAAGGCGCUUUGUUCAGGACGCAGUCUCCCCUGGAUGAGUGGUUUCAAAUCCCGCUUCUGACA
rfam:Danio rerio chromosome 4, GRCz11 reference primary assembly.